CACAGUUCAAUCACAGUUUAAUUUUUAUUUCUACUUGUUUUGCAGAUUGUUCAAAUAAACGCAUCUGGAAAUAUUUCAGAGUAGAUAGAUAUCAAUCUAAAAAUUAAGCACAUGUAGAAUAAAUAGAUAUCAAUUGAUAUUUUAUCAAAUAAAUAAUUAAAAAAAAAAGAUGAGUGGAACGGUGUUAAACUCUUAAUUUUAAGAUGGUUGAAGUUGAGAAUAAGGAUGGUUUUAAGGUGGUAAUUGAUAUCAUAGAUAGAUAACAAAAUUGAUUUUCAGAGUAGAGAUUAGUUUAAAAAUAUAAAAUUUAAGAACAAUAAAAACCUACCUCGCGCUUGCCAGAAGUUCAAGACCUCGCCCUGGACAGGGAUUUGAAAUCGCGGAAGAUGAAGACCUCGCGCUGGACAGAAUUUAAUAGUGGUAGAGCAUUAUAAACAGAUCCUUGACAUGAUAAACAGAAGAACAAAAUCGAGAUGGAUUGGGAGAGAAUAUUCAGUUCAUAUAUUCUCUUUUAAUAUUUUCAUUAUCAUGUUCAUUGUUCAGUCAAAAGAUAUAGACAACAAAAAUAGAUCAAAAAUAGAAAAAUCAAUGAUUUAUAUUCAAUCAAAACCGGAAUAUAUAUGUCAUAUAAACCUGAUAGAGUUUUGGUAUAGAUGAUAUGAUCAAACAAUCAUAUAAAUAUGUAAUACUUAAGCAAUUCAAAUGAUGAAUGGAAAUAUAUGAUGCUUAAAGUAUGUAUAAAUAUGUAAAUUGUUGAUACUGUUGGAUGAUCGAUUGAUUGGAAUGUAGCUCGAUUAUCCGACAGAUGAUUUGCAGGUUUGAUGAUGUAAUUGAGCGGAAGUUAUUUGAGCAGCAGCAAAGCGUUGUUGAAGAACAGAGUGUGUGUGUGUGUGUGUGUGUGUGAGUGUUUGAUGAAUUGUGGAUGGUGAAAAUGUUGAAUUAUGAUGAAGGCUUAGGUAGGUUUAAAUACUAAACACCCAACGGCUAUGUUGGUGUUUGGUAUUAAUUAUAAUAAGGGAAUGGAAUUAAUGAUGGAUAUGAAAUUAAUGAUAUAUGGGAAUUCCUAAAAAAGGAAUGUGAGAAGUCAUGGGAAUAUUUAUAUAUGCAGCAAGGAUGUAUUUGCAAUAUAUCUAUAACUUGGGGUUUUGAGAUAUAUGUAUAUACAGUAUAAUAUGUGUAUAACUUAGGGGUUUAAAAAUAGUAUUUACAUUAAGGGUGUAUUUAUAAUUUUAAUUCUUUAUGGGGUUGUAUUUCUAAUAAAACCAAAAAAAAAAAAUAGAUGAUCAAUUUCUAAUGAAAACUAAAAAAUGAUUCUUUAGAUUAUUCACAAAUCAUAGUUCAAACACAUGUUAGGCCGUAUGAUCCUAUUCUAAGAUAUCAAAAAUCUAAGAUUUUUAAUACCACAUGAGAUCUGCAAAUGAUGGGUGAAUUUUUUGCAUAAAACAUAAAUCAUAAAUUAUAAAAUCUGCAUAUUAAUAAUAAAAACAGGCUAGUUAAAAAAUAAUUAUCAUCAUUGAAUAAUUACUCUAUUACCCAAAAGUAUUUUACAGAUCCUUGGCAUGAUAAACAAAAGAACAAAAUCGAGAUUGGGAGAAGAAAAGAAUCGAGAUGGAUUGGGAGAUGAAAAACAGGAAGAAGAAAAACGGCAUUAUUCCUCCAAAUUGUUUCUCAAAGAAGAAUGUAAAAGAACAGAAUCGAGAUGGAUUGGGAGAUUAAAAACAGGAAGAAGAAAAACAGCAUUAUUCCUCCAAAUUGUUUCUCAAAGAAGAACAUACAAUAAUAAAGAUGAAAAAUAGGUAGACUAAAAUAACAGAGAGUAGAAACUACUAAAAUGGAAUCAAACCUGAUGAGGAAUCGAGACGCCAGAGGAAGUGGCCUCUGUCACCGGAGGUCGCCGCUGCAGUUGCAAUCGCCGCUGCCGUUUGCAAUCGUCG
rnacentral:lncRNA from 1 species